UCAUUCUUCAGAUAGUGGUUUUCUUUGGACUGCAAAAUAGAAAGAAACAUGCUUUAUCUUAUGUGGCAUGUGGCGCACAGAAAGAGCAAAAAAGAUUUGAAGCCAAAGAAGCUUAGCAAAUUAGGAAACAUUAGAACUGCAUCCUGAUUCCUUAAAAGCAAGUACAGAUAUAACCGUAAACAUGAGAGUAAUCAGGUCCAAGUAAUUGUCGCGACCCGACCUGAAAUCGGUCAAGUCUCUGUGUAGCUGUACCAUCCCAAGAUCAUGCUGGCACACACAGUACAUUGAUGAAAAGAUUCAAAGUUCAAUCACACCUGAAUUUAUUACACGAUUCUCAUAUCGAGUCUUUAUUACAUCGUGAUAUGACUCAGAUCCUUCUGAGCCGGAGCAGGACGGUGCUGGUUGCCAUUGCCUCUAUUGCCUGACUUGGAGUUGUUGUCGUGGCUGCUAUUGUUCCCAUUCCCUCCAUGGUUAUGUCCUUCAUGAUUAUGUCCUCCAUGGGUGUGAUGGGUAUGUCCUCCCGGGUAUGGGGCAUAGCGGGGCUUCUGCUGAGCUCCGGAGUUGUACUUUCCCUGGCCAUAUUUCCGCUUGCGGCUAUCAAUCUGCUGUUGCUUGCCUUCAAGUAUCGUGGCCUUGUCUACCAGCUCCUGGUAUUUGUUGAAGGUAGCCACCAUUAGCUACAUUCCCAGCUCAUCAUUGAGUCCCUCAAGAAACUUCUCCUGCUUUGCGGCAUCUGUGGCCACAUCAUCUGGGGCAUAGCGAGAUAAUUUGCUGAACUCAUCCACGUAAUGCCCCACAGUAAUGUUCCCCUGGUGUAAGUUGCGAAACUCACGCUUCUUCAGACUCAUGGCUCCAGCUGAGACAUGAGCGGUGCGGAAAGCUUGCUGGAACUGAUCCCAUGUCAUUGGUGGCGACUGGAUAAGUGGCGGUGUACUUCUCCCACCAAGAGGCUGCAGGUCCAUCAAGCUGAUGUGCGGCAAAGCGCACCUUCUCUGCAUUUGUGCAUCCAGCAGUGGCUAACUCCCUUCCGACCUUGCGGAGCCAAUCAUCGGCCACAAUCGACUCAAUGCUGCUAGAGAACACUGGCGGAUUCAGCCUUAGGAAGCGGGUCAAGUUGUCAAUAGGGGGUGGUGGCGGUGGAUUGUUGUUGUUGUUGUUAUUGUUGUUGUUGUUCUGGUUCUAGAUGAGCAUCUACAUCAGGGCAUUCUGCUGCUGGAUCAGCUGGGUCAGCUCUGGCGGAAAGUUGAAACCGGGGUCACGUCUCAGAGGCAUCUGGUGUUUUGGAGUGGAUGAGAAAUUAGAAUAGAACAAGGGUCUAUUGAGAAAAUAGCACUACCCAUAUGAAUGCACAAUCAUAAUCACACCAAUCAAUUAUUCAUUCAUCUCAAACAAGGUUCAAUCUCGGAUUACAAAAUCUCACGACUAAUCGAAAAUAAUGGCCUAACUGAUCAACGAAAAAAUAAAAUAACAUGGCGGUCGAUUAAAUGUCUUCAUCAAUUAUCCUUGCGUCCUUCGGUGCGGCGUCCUCUGGUGCGGCGUCUCCUCUUGCGGCUUCCUUCGAUGGAGCUCUCUUCAUAAUCCUGGUCAUUGCUCAUGAGGGGUCCAUCAUCUCCACUCGGAAAAAGGUCUUCUCCCAGGUCCAUCUUCUCCUCCAGUGUGGCAAUAUAUUUAUCCCGGUCCUCGAUUCUAUCCAUAAAAUCCUUGACUUCUUCUGCAUGUUCAAGGAAGUUUGCGCGUGCUUUCUCCUCCAGUUCCAGUUCACGGAACAACAGCCUCCUGUGUACCUUCGAGCUUCGGCGCAUCUAGAUUUCCUGGUUCCUGAGGAGACUCUCCAAGUCUUGGACAUAUGAAAGAAUUGAGUCAUCCUCCACGGUACGGAUGAUAUCUCCAUUCCUAGCUCUACGGGAAAUCAUGCGAGGUCUGAUGGGUCGAGCUCGGCCCUGUACUCUUUUCGGAGAUGUCCAAGUGCACGAUAAAUCGCCAUGUCUCUUUCGAGGAUCCAACUGAAGGCGGUAAAAUCAAAGUCGACGGGUUCUGAAUGUCCUCCGAAGGUCCUCCCUGGAAUGUGUACCUUAAUCCUGUAGCGGGUAUCCGUCGGAAGUGCAUUGGUAGGCUUCCCAGUGAUUGAGGGCAGAGCAAUCUUCAGCUUCUUCACGAUCUAAACCAGCUUCUUGCCAAAAAGCAUCGUCUCAUCCGGCUGGCAAAACUCCGAUAGCAGAACUGGGGUGAACUCGGCGGCCAUCUAGAAUGUUGAAAAUCGGAGGGAAGUCAGAAAUGAACAGGGGAGAAUUAAGGAAUAAUAAGGACAUAAAAUAAAGUAGUUUCUUCCUAUAGCUUGCCGAUCCUAGGGGUUAUGUCCUACGGUCAGCGUGUGCUCUGAUACCCAUCUCUGUCACGACCCGAUCUGAAAUCGGACAAGUCUCUGUGUAGCCGUACCAUCCCAAGAUCAUGCUGGCACACACAGUACAUUGAACCACACCUGAAUUUAUUACACGAUUCAAAGUUCGGCCGAAGGCCAACUCAUGAGAAAUAAACUAAAUAAAGUUGCGGAAGCGUAGACGAAUAGCGAGUCCAUCCGACUCCAUAGGCAAUCACCGAGCGUAGAUCGUAGCCUCACUCCUGGUCGGUAAACUCCUCUGCAACAUGAGACGUUGCAGGCGUGUAGGUCAGCAUUUUGAAUAUGCCGGCAAGUCAUGAAGAGAGAACAACAAUAAAAUUACUAACACUAUAUGCAAUUUGGCUGUGGGGCUCUAAGUUUUCUGUUUUUGCGAAAAAGCCAAUUUUUUCCUACAACGAAGGCCUUGUUUCCAAUUACUACAAAAUGUUGGUUGUUAUUGAGAUGGUUCCGCCAACCAAUGUCUCAUUCCCAAUUCUUAAAAUAACCCCUCAAUUAAUUUAUUAAGUUCAGUGUUGAGAUUUCCGAAAUACUCCAAUUCCAGAGGCUCAUUUGUCCGUAACCGGGGACAUGGCUAAUCGAUUAGGUUGUUACUCUGCAGAGUCAUGUGCAGUUUACCCGCAAGAAUCGUUCCCUCCUUUUAUGUCCUCGCACUGCCUGGUGUUUGAAGAUGGGACGAACGAAACAGGGUCUUCCGUAGAGUUCCUCUGGGCUAGUGUCGGUGCCCAUCCAAUCCUACCGUUCUUCUACAUCUCGUAGCACCGUCCGGCCAGAGUCACGCCUAGGGUCGACUAGCCAGAGCCCAUAAUGGCUUGCUGCUGCACAGGUAAGCUUCCGGUCAAGGUGUAUCCAUCCGUCUCUUCGUGGCUGGGUGAAGCUUUCCGCAAGAUGUCAUGGCGCUUCUCCAUGCAUCCCGGCCAUCCGCUGGUUGCUCCCGGGUUCCCGUCAACCGUCCUCCACCCAGUAGUGAAUUUGAAGUCCAUCUUGAGCUUGAAGUCAUGGGGUUGUCAUCAUCUUGACUCUCACAUCUCCCUUAUGAAUCUCUCAACCAACCCCGUCUACGAGCAUAGCAAAAUAAACUAUAUCGUCCCGGGCAACGGUAACAAGGGGAAUUGGGUUGAUCCUACCUCAUGAUACUACUCAAGAACAUAACUUAAAAUUCUCCUACUGCAUGCAUGGUGGGGAGGAAUAAUUCUAAUGCAAAAAAAAUAAUAGGUAUUGUACAACAUGAUCAAAUGACUUGCCUGGCUGACGGUCUUCGAAAGCUAGCGACUCGUAAUAGCAGGCUUCGCACUCCGGGAAUUCUAUUCGAAGCAAACAAUAAGCACAUAAGCAUACAACUAUAUUAACAUAACAGCAAGCUAACGUAAAUCACACAUAAACAAUCAAACCAAAACCAAAGAGAACUCGAAGAACUCCAAGCCAACAACUAGCAAGAAAAAACAUUUUCUUUUUCUAUAAAUAAAAGUUCACGUUCUAAAACUACAGAAACAAAUCUGAAAUAAAAAACAACAGAUGUAAAAUAAAAUUUUAAAAUAACUAGAACAACAGAAAACAGCAGCAAGCUAACAAAACUAGAAAAGCUUGUUUUCGAGUAAAACUAUUUUUAAUAAAAUCUAUAAAUAUCCAAAUUAAUCCUACUGCUAGGCAAGGUCAUAACAACGGAGUGGCAAAAAGAAUCACCUAAAAAUAUUAAUUCUAGCUCAAUUUAUAACCGAAAUACUAAUCUGACUAAAACUAAUAUAAACCAAUUUUUAAAACUUAAACAUGGCCGAAACUAUUUUCUACAGAAACUAUAGAAUAAUUGUAAACUAACAAAAAAAGAAUCAACUAAAAAUAUUAAACAACCUAAAAGAUACAAAUUUUACAAGAACAGAACUAUUCUGCUAAAACAGAAACUGAAAAAAUAAAACUAAAAAAAAACUAACGCGCUAACUGGUCAAAACAGUGAGCGUUCUAAAACUAAACAGCGCCUAAGCGUUUAAUAAACUGAUGCGUCCAUGGGCUAACAGAAAUAAACCAAUCAGCCGGUCCAACUAAAUCGCAACUUAAAAUAAAUAGGCCUAAACCGAAACUAAAACCGAUCUAUAUGAAAUAAAACCAUACCCCUUCGUGUGAUCUAAUUUAGGCCGUACAUGCGAGAUCCAACGAUGGAGGGGCUCGGGCUUACAGCGGACGGCGGCGACGGACGGAGACGACGGCGGCGACUCGGGCGAUGGCGGUGCGGCGGCUACGAACGUCGGGGAGGAAGGCGGUGGCGCCGGGCCGAUGCGGCGGGGCUUGGGGAAGUCGGGGGGCGGCCUCGGUGGUGGUUGAAGACGGCAGAGAGGAGCGGAACGAGCUCAUAAAGCUCCUGUGCUCGACGUGCUCCGGCGACGGGCGUAGAUGCUCGGGGCGUCGUUGUAUAAGAGGGCGGAAGACCUUGUCAAAAAGGUGGGCAACGGCGAGGGUAGUACGUGGUGGAAAUUGGAUUCGAGGGAGUGCUCACCGGAGUCGGAACGGGCGGCGAACUUCGGCGGCAGCAGCGAGAUCAGGACGGCGAGGGCACGAGCUAUGGUGGGAGUUGGGAUAGGGUUUUUGGGGGGUUCAGAAGAGGAGAUGCGUCGGUAUUUAUAGGACACGUUUUCGUGGAGCAGGGGCAGCUCGGGUUAGGGUUUUGGGAGCGCGGACGUCGAGGGCUGGCGAGAUUCUGGCGCUGGUCAUUGUGGGAGGAAGGAGAUGAGGUGGGGUCGGGGUGUCGGCGUGAGAGAGAGAGGGAGUUGCGGUCGAGCAACCGGAGCGGAGGCGGCUCGGGCGUGCGGCGCGCUAGGCUAGCGGCCUUGGCGCUGGGCUGCGGCCUCGGCGCUGGUGGGCUGCGGCCUCGACGACUGGGCAUGCUGGCCUGGCGCCUGGUGCGCCGGGGUUUUUCCUUUUUUUUGAAUUACCACAGAGAGAGAAAACUAAUUAUAGAGAAACCUAUAGUAUUUUUAUAUAGGAUAUAUAUAUCAAAAAAAUUAGAAAAAAAUCCUACAACGUGGACAUUUUUCCAGAGGCAAAACAGAAACUAAAAAAACAUUUUCUGCAAAUUCCAAAUAAAAUUCAAAUUUGAAUUCAAACCUUUUGGCAAUAUUUUCUUCUGACAUUUUUUGGAGUGUCAUGUUUGCUCCUCUCAUACUUUUAAACAAGUAUUUGUCAGGGAUAUUUGAAAUAAAUUUCAAAUGCCAGGUUGAAUCGAAAUUCAAAUAAAACUCAAAUGCCUCUGAAAAUUUUCAAAUGCCACACAAUUCAAACAAAAUGCAUAGAUGCUUAGCUAAUAAUUGUAAAACAUUCCAAAUUGAAAAUUUGGGAUGUUACAAACCUACCCACCUUAAGAUGAAUCUCGUCCUCGAGAUUCGGGUUGGCUAGCAAAUAGGUGCGGGUGGUCUCAGCGGAGAUCUUCUUCUCGCUCCCAGGUGGUUUCCUCCUCGGAAUGAUGACUCCAGAGAACCUUGCAAAACUUGAUGAUCUUGUUGCGGGUAACUCUGUUCGCAGUCUCGAGAAUUCUGACGGGUUUCUCCUCAUAAGUCAGAUCACUAUCGAGCUGUAUGGCCUCUAGGGGCACUGUAUCUCUCAAAGGAAUAUCGGCCAUCUCAGCAUGGCAUUUCUUCAGCUGGGAAACAUGGAAGACAUCGUGAACUCCGGACAAUCCUUCCGGCAAUUCCAGCUUGUAGGCAACUUCUCCACGACGUUUGAGGAUUUUGUAGGGGCCAAUGAACCGGGGUGCUAACUUUCCUUUAACACCAAAUCUCUUGAUUCCACGAAGUGGGGACACACGGAGAUAUGCUCGGUCUCCAACUUCAUACGUGAUCUCCUUGCAUUUAUUGUCGGCAUAACUCUUCUGUCUCGACUGGGCUAUCUUGAGUCUAUCUUGAAUCAGCUUGACCUUCUCUUCGGAGUCUCUGAUAAGAUCGGGACCAAAAAGUUUUUGGUCUCCAACACCAUCCCACAACAAUGGUGUUCUGCACCUCCUUCCGUAUAGAGCUUCGAAAGGGGCCAUCUUCAGACUGGUCUGAUAGCUGUUAUUGUACGAGAACUCUACUUAUGGCAAAUUGUCAUCCCAGCUAGACCCAUAGUCUAGCGCACAGGCUCUCAACAUGUCCUCCAGAAUCUGGUUGACUCUCUCGAUCUGUCCAUCUGUCUGCGGAUGAAAAGUUGUACUGAACUCCAGCCUCGUACCCAAAGUUUCAUGCAACUGGUUCCAAAACUUUGAGGUAAAUUGCAUUCCUCUAUCUGACACGAUACUCCUCGGAACUCCAUGCAGACAUACGAUCCUAGUCAUGUAUAUCUUGGCUAACUUGGCACUGGUAUAGGUGGUCUUCACGGGAAUGAAAUGAGCUACCUUGGUCAAGCGAUCAACUACUACCCAGAUAGCAUCAUAACCUGAACGGAUCCUCGGUAAUCCUGUGAUAAAAUCCAUUCCAAGUUUUUCCCAUUUCCACUCGGGUAUCGGCAAAGGUUGAAGUAACCCUGCCGGCUUCUGAUGUUCCGCCUUUACUCGCUGACAAACAUCGCAUACUGCUACGUACUCGGCAAUAUCCUUCUUCAUACGUGUCCACCAGAAACUUUCCUUCAAAUCCAGAUACAUCUUGGUGUUGCCUGGGUGAAUCGAGUACGGUGAAUAAUGGGCUUCCUGAAGAAUUAACUUCCUAACCUCUGGUCAUUGGGCACAUAGAUACGAUCCUCAAACCAUAAAGUUCCUUGCUCAUCUUCACGAAAACCUUUAGCCUUUCCUUUACUCAUCUUUUCCUUUAUCUCUGCAAUUUCCUUGUCCGUCUUCUAGGCUUCACAGAUUCUUUCCGUCAAAGUGGAUUGAAUAUCCAAUGUGGCGACAAAUCCUCUCGGUUCUAUCUCCAGCUGGAGUUCUCUGAGGUCGUCGGCUAAUUCCUGAGGUAAUCCUCCAACUAUGAGGGUGUUCACAUAGCUUUUACGGCUCAAGGCAUCUGCUACAACAUUUGCCUUCCCUGGGUGAUAAUGCAAUCUCAUGUGAUAGUCCUUGAUCAAAUCUAGCCAUCUCCUCUGUCUGAGGUUCAACUCCUUCUGUGUGAAAAUGUAUUUCAAGCUCUUAUGAUCCGUGUAAACAUCACAACCGUUUCCGACAAGGAAAUGUCUCCAAGUCUUGAGUGCGUGCACUACGGCUGCUAACUCCAAAUCAUGUGUGGCGUAAUUCAUCUCGUGAGGCCGUAGCUGUCUGGAGGUAUAAGCUACAACUUUUCCUUCCUGCAUGAGCACUCCUCCGAGUCCUUGACGAGAAUCAUCACAAUAUACCUGGUAAUCCUUGUGUAUGUACGGAAAAAUGAGCACUGGGGCUGUAACCAAACGUUUCUUCAGCUCCUGAAAACUGGCUUCACAAUCCUCGGUCCAAACGUACUUAGUUUCCUUCUUCAACAGCUCCGUCAUGGGUUUAGCAAUCUUGCAGAAAUUCUCAAUAAAUCUCCGAUAAUAUCCUGCGAGUCCGAGAAAACUGCGGAUCUCCUUGACUGAGGUGGGAGACUGCCAGUUGGUGACCGAUUCAACCUUGGUGGGGUCGACUGCUAUUCCUUCUCCUAAAAAAACAUGUCCUAGAAAUCCGACUUCCUUCAGCCAAAAUUCACAUUUGCUAAACUUGGCAUAUAACUGAUGUUCUCGGAGUUUCUCCAGAACUAGACGCAGAUGUUCCUUAUGCUCUUCCUCGCUCUUGGAGAAAACCAAUAUGUCAUCGAUGAACACCACGACAAACUUGUCCAAAUAUUCCAUAAAUACCUUGUUCAUCAUGCUCAUGAAAUACGCAGGGGCAUUAGUCAAUCCGAAUGACAUGACAGUAUACUCAUAUAAACCAUACCUAGUGGUGAAAGCUGUUUUGGGUAUAUCCUAUUCACGAAUCUUCAACUGAUGAUACCCUGAUCGAAGAUCGAUCUUGGAGAAUACCUUGGCUCCAACUAGCUGAUCAAAUAAAUCGUUAAUCAUCGGCCGAGGGUACUUGUUCUUGACAGUCACGUCGUUCAAUGAACGAUAAUUCACAACCAUUCUCAGGGUUCCAUCCUUGUUCUCUACCAAAAGAACUGGGGCUCCCAAGGUGACGAGCUUGGCCGAAUAUAUCCCUUCUCCAAUAGCUCCUUAAUUUGCUUCUUGAUCUCUUCCAAAUCAUUCGGGGGCAUCCGAUAGGGUCUCUUGGAUAUUGGGGUUGUGCCGGGCAAUAACUCAAUCAGAAAUUCAAUGUCUCUGUCCGGUGGCAUUCCUGGUAAUUCCUCCGGAAAUACAUCGGCAAAAUCUUGCACUACGGGCACUUCCUCCUGAACAACUCCCGUGAGGGAAUUCACCUGAUGCUUCGUCGGGGUGUGUCUAGAUACAUACUUGAUCCUCUUCUGCUCCGGGGUGGUGAGCAAAAUCGUCUUGCGGGCACAGUCGAUGUUUCCUUCAAACUUCGUCAACCAAUCCAUGCCUAGGAUUACAUCCAAACCCUGGGAUUCCAAUACUAUGAGGUCUGCGGGAAAAUCAAGGUUUCCGAUGCUGAGGGUUGAAUGACAGCCUAAGCUUGCCGUCAUCUCUCCUCCUGGGGAAGUGACCUGAAGAGGGGUUCUAAGGGUUCUAGUGGGCAACCCAUACUUUUCCACAACUACCCUUGAUAUGAAUGAAUGCGUUGCACCGGAAUCAAACAGUACCAAUACUGGACGUGAAUUUAAUAAAAACUUACCAACCACAGUGUCUGGUUGAUCAUAGACGUCCUCCAUGUCAAUGUGAUUCACCUGAGCAAGAGGAAAAGGGUUGGGCUUCUAUGCUGAGCUUCCAUUGUCGUUGCCGUUUCCAUUCCUCUGCUUGGCCUCCGGACAAUCGGUGGCAUAGUGCCCUGUCUUCUGGCACUUGAAACAGGUGAUAUGACUCAGAUCCUUCUGAGCCGGAGCGGGACGGUGCUGGUUGCCAUUGCCUGACUUGGAGUUGUUGUCAUGGUUACGAUUGUUCCCAUUCCCUCCAUGGUUAUGUCCUCCAUGAUUAUGUCCUCCAUGGGUGUGAUGGGUAUGUCCUCCCGAGUAUGGGGCAUAGCGGGGCUUCUGCUGAGCUCCGGAGUUGUACUUUCCCUGGCCAUAUUUUCGCUUGCGGCUAUCAAUCUGCUGCUGCUUGCCUUCAAGUAUCGUGGCCUUGUCUACCAGCUCUUGGUAGUUGUUGAAGGUAGCCACCAUUAGCUGCAUUCCCAGCUCAUCAUUGAGUCCCUCGAGAAACUUCUCCUGCUUUGCGGAAUCUGUGGCCACAUCAUCUGGGGCAUAGCGAGAUAAUUUGCUGAACUCAUCCAUGUACUGCCCCACAGUACAGUUCCCCUGGCGUAAGUUGCGAAACUCACGCUUCUUCAGACUCAUGGCUCCAGCUGAGACAUGAGCGGUGUGGAAAGCCUGCUGGAACUGAUCCCAUGUCAUGGUGGCGACCGGAUAAGUGGCGGUGUAGUUCUCCCACCAAGAGGCUGCAGGUCCAUCAAGCUGAUGUGCGGCAAAGCGCACCUUCUCUGCAUCUGUGCAUCCAGCAGUGGCUAACUCCCUUCUGACCUUGCGGAGCCAAUCAUCGGCCACAAUCGGCUCAGUGCUGCUAGAGAACACUGGCGGAUUCAGCCUUAGGAAGCGGGUCAAGUUGUCAACAGGGGGUGGUGGCGGUGGAUUGUUGUUGUUGUUGUUCUGGAUGAGCAUCUACAUCAGGGCAUUCUGCUGCUGGAUCAGCUGGGUGAGCUCCGGCGGAAAGUUGAAACCGGGGUCACGUCUCGGAGGCAUCUGGUGUUUUGGAGUGGAUGAGAAAUUAGAAUAGAACAAGGGUCACUACCCAUAUGAAUGCACAAUCAUAAUCACACCAAUCAUUUAUUCAUUCAUCUCAAACAAGGUUCAAUCUCGGAUUACAAAAUCUCAUGACUAAUCGAAAAUAACGGCCUAACCGAUCGACGAGAAAAAUAAAAUAACAUGGCGGUCGACUAAAUGUCUUCAUCAAUUAUCCUUGCGUCCUUCGGUGCGGCGUCCUCUGGUGCGUCGUCCUCUGGUGCGGCGUCUCCUCUUGCCGCUUCCUUCGGUGGAGCUCUCUUCAUAAUCCUGGUCAUUGCUCACGAGGGGUCCAUCAUCUCCACUCGGAAAAAGGUCUUCUCCCAGGUCCAUCUUCUCCUCUAGUGUGGCAAUAUAUUUAUCCCGGUCCUCGAUUCUAUCCAUAAAAUCCUUGACUUCUUCUUCGUGUUCAAGGAAGUCCGCGCGUGCUUUCUACUCCAGUUCCAGUUCACGGAACAACAGCCUCCUGUGUACCUUCGAGCUUCGGCGCAUCUAGAUUUCCUGAUUCCUGAGGAGACUCUCCAAGUCUUGGACAUAUGAAAGAAUUGAGUCGUCCUCCAUGGUACGGAUGAUAUCUCCAUUCCUAGCUCCGCGGGAAAUCAUGGCGAGGUCUGAUGGGUCGAGCUCGGCCCUGUACUCUUCUCGGAGAUGUCCAAGUGCACGAUAAAUCGCCAUGUCUCUUCCGAGGAUCUAAGUGAAGGCGGUAAACUCAAAGUCGAUGGGUUCUGAAUGUCCUCCGAAGGUCCUCCCUGGAAUGUGCACCUUAAUCCUGUAGCGGGUAUCCGCCGGAAGUGCAUUGGUAGGCUUCCCGGUGAUUGAGGGCAGAGCAAUCUUCAGCCUUUUCAUGAUCUGAACCAGCUUCUUGCCAAAAAGCAUCGUCUCAUCCGGCUGGCAAAACUCCGGUAGCAGAACUGGGGUGAACUCGGCGGCCAUCUAGAAUGUUGAAAAUCGGAGGGAAGUCAGAAAUGAACAGGGGAGAAUUAAGGAAUAAUAAGGACAUAAAAUAAAAUAGUUUCUUCCUAUGGCUUUCCGAUCCUAGGGGUUACGUCCUACGGUCAGCGUGUGCUCUGAUACCAUCACUGUCGCGACCCGACCUGAAAUCGGUCAAGUCUCUGUGUGGCUGUACCUUCCCAAGAUCAUGCUGGCAUACACAGUACAUUGAUGAAAAGAUUCAAAGUUCAAUCACACCUGAAUUUAUUACACGAUUCUCAUAUCGAGUCUUUAUUACAUCAUAAUAAAUUCGGCCGAAGGCCAACUCAUGAGAAAUAAACUAAAUAAAGCUGCGGAAGCGUAGACGAAUAGCGAGUCCAUCCGACUCCAUAGGCAAUCACCGAGCGUAGAUCGUAGCCUCACUCCUGGUCGGUAAACUCCUCUGCAACAUGAGACGUUGCAGCCGUGUAGGUCAGCAUUUUGAAUAUGCCAGCAAGUCAUGAAGAGAGAACAACAAUAAAAUUACUAACACUAUAUGCAAUUUGGCUGUGGGGCUCUAAGUUUUAUGUUUUUGCGAAAAAGCCAAUUUUUUCCUACAACAAAGCCUUGUUUCCAAUUAAUACAAAAUGUUGGUUGUUAUUGAGAUGGUUCCGCCAACCAAUGUCUCAUUCCCACUUAUUAAAAUAGCCCCUCAAUUAAUUUAUUAAGUUCGGUGUUGAGAUUUCCGAAAUACCUCAAUUCCAGAGACUCAUUUGUCCGUAACCGGGGACACAGCUAAUCGAUUAGGUUGUUACUCUGCAGAGUCUUGUGCACUUUAUCCGCAAGAAUCGUUCCCUCCUUUUAUGUCCUCGCACUGCCUGGUGUUUGAAGACGGAACGAACGAAACAGGGUCUUCCGUAGAGUUCCUCUGGGCCACUGCCGGCGCCCAUCCAAUCCUACCGUUCUUCUACAUCUCGUAGCACCGUCCGGCCAGAGUCACGCCUAGGGUCGACCAAGCUAGAGCCCAUAAUGGCUUGCGGCUGCACAGGUAAGCUUCCGGUCAACAUGUAUCCAUCCGUCUCUUUGUGGCUGGGUGAAGCUUUCGGCAAGAUGUCAUGGUGCUUCUCCAUGCAUCCCGGCCAUCCGCUGGUUGCUCCAGGGUGCCCGUCAACCACCCUCCACCCAGUAGUGAAUUUGAAGUCCAUCUUGAGCUUGAAGUCAUGGGGUUGUCAUCAUCUUGACUCUCACAUCUCCCUUAUGAAUCUCUCAACCAACCCCGUCUACGAGCAUAGCAAAAUAAACUAUAUCAUCCCGGGCAACAGUAACAAGGGGAAUUGGGUUGAUCCUACCUCAUGAUACUACUCAAGAACAUAACUUAAAAUUCUCCUACAGCAUGCAUGGUGGGGAGGAAUAAUUCUAAUGCAACAAAAUCAUAGGUAUUGUAAAACAUGAUCAAAUGACUUGCCUGGCUGACGGUCUUCGAAAGCUAGCGACUCGUAAUAGCAGGCUUCGCACUCCGGAAAUUCUAUUCGAAGCAAACAAUAACCACAUAAGCAUACAACUAUAUUAACAUAACAGCAAGCUAACGUAAAUCACACAUAAACAAUCAAACCAAAACUAAAGAGAACUCGAAGAACUCCAAGCCAACAACUAGCAAGAAAAAAAACAUUUCCUUUUUCUGUAAACAAAAGUUCAUGUUCUAAAACUACAGAAACAAAUCUGAAAUAAAAAACAACAGGGGUAAAAUAAAAUUUUAAAAUAACUAGAACAACAUAAAACAGCAGCAAGCUAACAAAACUAGAAAAGCUUGUUUUCGAGUAAAACUAUUUUUAAUAAAUUCUAUAAAUACCCAAAUUAAUCCUACUGCUAGGCAAGGUCAUAACAAGGCAGUGGCAAAAAGAAUCACGUAAAAAUAUUAAUUCUAGCUCAAUUUAUAGCAGAAAUACUAAUCUGAUUAAAACUAAUAUAAAACAAUUUUUAAAACUUAAACAUGGCCGAAACUAUUUUCUACAGAAACUAUAGGAAAUUGUAAACUAACAAAAAAAGAAUCAACUAAAAAUAUUAAACAACCUAAAAGAUACAGAUUUUACAAGAACAGAACUAUUCUGCUAAAACAGAAACUGAAAAAAACUACUAAAAAAACUAACAUGCUAACGGGCCGAAACAGUAAGCGUUCUAAAACUAAACAGCGCCUAAGCGUUUAAUAAACCGAUGCGUCCACGGGCUAACAAAAAUAAACCAAUCGGCCGGUCCAACUAAACCGCAACUUAAAAUAAACCUGUCUAAACCGAAACUAAAACCGAUCUAUAUGAAAUAAAACCAUACCCCUUCGUGUGAUCUAAUCUAGGUCGUACAUGCGAGAUCCAACGGUGGAGGGGCUCGGGCUUACAGCGGACGGCGGCGACUCGAGCGAUGGCGGUGCGGCGGCUCCGGUCGUCGGGGAGGAAGGCGGUGGCGUCGGGCCGAUGCGGCGGAGCUUGGGGAAGUCGGUGGUGGCCUCGGUGGUGGUUGAAGACGGCGGAGACGAGCGGAACGAGCUCGUCAAGCUCCUGUGCUCGACGUGCUCCGGCGACGGGCGUAGAUGCUCGGGGCGUCGUUUCUGUGUAUAAGAGGGCGGAAGACCUUGUCAAAAAGGUGGGCAACGGCGAGGGGAGUACGUGGGUGGAAAUUGGAGAUGAGGGAGUGCUCACCGGAGUCGGAAUGGGCGGCGAACUACGAUUGCAGCAGCGAGAUCGGGACGGCAAGGGCGCAAGCUAUGGUGGGAGUUGGGAUAGGAUUUUUGGGGGGUUCGGAAGAGGAGAUGCGUAGGUAUUUAUAGGACACGUUUUCGUGGAGGAGGGCAGCUCGGGUUAGGGUUUUGGGAGCACGGACGUCGAGGGCUGGCGAGAUUUUGGCACUGGUCGUUGCGGGAGGAAGGAGAUGAGGUGGUGUCGGGGUGUCGGCGUGAGAGAGAGAGGGAGUUGCGGUCGGGCAACCGGAGCGGAGGCGGCUCGGGCGUGCGGCGCGCUGGGCUGGUGGCCUUGGCGCUGGGCUGCGGCCUCGGCGCUGGUGGGCUGCGGCCUCGGCGACUGGGCCUGCUGGCCUGGCGCCUGGCGCGCCGGGGUUUUUCCUUUUUUUUGAAUUACCACAGAUAGAGAAAACUAUUAUAGUGAAACCUAUAGUAUUUUUAUAUAGGACAUAUUAUAUAUCAAAAAAUUAGAAACAAAAUCCUACAACGUGGACAUUUUUCCAGAGGCAAAACGGAAACUAAAAAAACAUUUUCUGCAAAUUCCAAAUAAAAUUCAAAUUUGAAUUCAAACCUUUUGGCAAUAUUUUCUUCUGACAUUUUUUUGGAAUGUCAUGUUUGCUCCUCUCAUACUUUUAAACAAGUAUUUGUCAGGGAUAUUUGAAAUAAAUUUCAAAUGCCAAGUUGAAUCCAAAUUCAAAUAAAACUCAAAUGCCUCUGAAAAUUUUCAAAUGCCAUACAAUUCAAACAAAAUGCAUAGAUGCUUAGCUAAUAAUUGUAAAACAUUCCAAAUUGAAAAUUUGGGAUGUUACAGUAAUAUAUAGAACUGAACAUUUCUUCAGUUAUGUAGCUUCCAUUGGCUUCUUUUAAUUGCUACAAAUUCUCAUAUAGCAGCAAAAAGAUUCUAAAGUAAUCAGGUCCAAGUAAUAUAUAGAACUGAACAUUUCUUCUGUUAUGUAGCUUCCAUUGGCUUCUUUUAAUUGCUACAAAUUCUCAUAUAGCAGCAAAAAGAUUCUAAAGUAAUCAGGUCCACGUAAUAUAUAGAACUGAACAUUUCUUCAGUUAUGUAGCUUCCAUUGGCUUCUUUUAAUUGCUAACGAUUCUCAUAUAGCAGCGAAAAGAUUCUAAAGUAAUCAGGUCCAAGUAAUAUAUAGAACUGAACAUUUCUUCAGUUAUGUAGCUUCCAUUGGCUUCUUUUAAUUGCUACAAAUUCUCAUAUAGCAGCGAAAAGAUUUUAAUUUUUGCGAGGGAGCAAAGACAGAUUAACAAUACACAAGACUAAACAUAGACUAAGUCAUAAACAAGUUACUACUCCUACCUAACUUGUUAUCUUUGAAUGGAACUAAAUAAUAGAAAAAUGAAAUCGCAUGACUUACAUAGAUCAGUCCUCCCCUGUCAGCCUUUUUGGAUUUCAUCAAACACCUUGUAGGCACAAAGAAACAAAACCUGCACAAACAAAGAUGAGAAGCAUUGGAUUGGAAGAAACGGGGAGGAAAGAAGAGAAGAGUGGCUUACAUGGAUUUUUCUUCUACAUCUUCUGAUCCAUGGCUGACAAAAAUAUGAGAGAUUCAUCUUGGCUUUGCCUUUCUGCUGAGGAUGCCGGUGCCGUGGACCAUCCCAGACCGUCAACACCUGCCUUGACCCGGCCACUGCUCCCACCGGCACUCGGGCUCGCCACCAAAGUUACUACGCAGACAGCAAACUUUGCUCGUCCGCGGAACAAAAUAUAAUUCGUCAUUUAUAUGGGCAUAGUACAAUACUGCACAAGUAGCAAAAAACCAAGCACCAAGAACCUCCUGGAUAAACAACAGAAACAACCAAGAAGCACUCACUUUUCAAGUCAAUGGACUAAAAAUAUAUAACUGUGCAUGCAGAAAAAUUGAACUCCCAUGCAUUGCAAAACUGACCACAUUCUGAAUCCAUUUUCAGAUGAGAAGCACCAAAAAAUAUUCCUAGUGAAGUAUCAUCACAAAAAUGGCGAUGGUAAGUGGAAAAGACAAAGUCUACACAAUUGUAAUCUAUGAAAAACUGGAGCAACUAAAUUUCAAUGAUCGACGAUAGUGCAAAUGACAUAUUAUGCCAUUUUGAAAACCAUCCAGAUAAAUGAGAACUGGUUGUUUUGCCUAUCAAGAAAAUUCUAAAUGAGAGGUUAUGAUAUCAGAUUCACUGACUGCAAAAAGCAUGGAAGGUACAAUGCAGCACAAAGGAAUGGAAUUUACCAAAUUUCAAUCACUUUGAGAAGGCCUGGCAGGUAGUAAUGAGCGUUGUUGCUCACGGCGCAGCGAUCGCGAGCCGAGACGCCUUCCUGGCUGGCUAGUAAAGAAAAGUGUGUAUUGCCAGCCAUAGGCAAUGAG
rnacentral:lncRNA from 1 species